UUCCACAGUUACUGGUCUGCAACUAUUAUUAUGGUACCAGUUGUGGCAUUCCUCUUGUGGGAAAGAGAUUGUUACAAGAUUAAACACCCUUUCUUAGCAAAACAGGAAGUGGGCAUAUCUGUGACAUACGAGA